GUAAGUUCUCUAUAGCUAGGUUACAAAGGGUAGAGGCUGGAUAUAUUAAAACUUAGAAAUUCAGAGGAAGUGCCCUGUGGGGCUUGGACUUGAACCUCUGAGGAGUGAUAAUUGACAAUGUUAGUAUCUCUCAGAAGAAGGAAAAGGAGGAGGAGGGAGAAAAGAAGGACAAGGAAGAUAAGAGGAUCAAGAGGAUGAAGAGGAGAGAUAAAGAGAAGGAGAGAGAGAGUGAAGAGACAAAAUCUGUGGAAUAGGAGAAAAUAUUUACAAACUAUUCAUCUAAGGGACCAAUAUUCCAAAGAGACAAGGAACUCAAAUAACUCAGCAGCAAGAAAACCCCAAUAAUCCGAUCAAAAAGUGGACAAAUUAUCUGAAUAAACAUUUAUGAAAAAAGACAUACAAAUGGUCAACAGUUGUAUGACUUUGAGGUCUUAAUUGAUUUUCUGCUGAAUGUUUAGUGUCUCAUGCUUGUCGUGGGGUAUCAUUUAGUUGACUUUACAUCACUAGAGUUGUAUCAUUUUUGUUUCCUUGAUUUGCAAAAAUAAUCUGUCAAAUCCACAAAUUCACUGAAAAAUAUUAAUAUUGGCCCAAACUGUCAAAUAGGUUAUUUAGAACAAGAUAGAUCUAACAUGUCAUUGUUUUACCUCUUGUUGCCCUUUUUGUUUUUCGUGUUUUGCUGUUUUCCUUGAACAGGUACUAUGAUAUUGGGUCAGUUAUGGCCACGUUAAAACCUUACAGAAAGAUGGCUAAAAGAGUAGCUGGCAUUUUAUAAAUGGAGUAUGUGGUGGAGAAAGGUGAAGAGCUUUACUUAAUAUACUGGAAGAAUAAUCAGAAAGGGGAAACUGUAUCUAGUUUCUUUGAUUUUUAGUAAAGUUCAUAUGAAGAGAAUUAUCCUCAACUAUUCUCUACAAUGGAAAGCUUUGCUAUAAUGACAGUUCAUUUAAGAAUUGUCAUGUGUGAAGUUAAAACAACUUUAUGGAGAAGUAUAGCAACUGCUCCUUCCAUGAAAAAAAUUAUGUUAUUAGUUACAAAAAAUGUAUCCAAAUAUCUUUCAUAUCAUAUUUGUUUAUGGAUGCUAAUGGCAUUUUGGAACAAUGAAGGCAUUCCAUCUGGCAAAUAGGUGAAAGGCAAAUCUUAACACAAAUAUCUUCAUGUCAAUAUAAUAGCAAAACAUUCACUGGCUUGUAGGUUACCUUGUUAUUUGUUAUGACUUUCCGUCAGAUUUUCAUGGGCACAUUUUCUUAAACAGAAAAUGUUUUUCUUAAACAGAAAAAGUUUGAAGAAGUUUUCCUACAACCACAUGGCAAGACUUUAAAUGUUUUAUUAUCUAUUCUCCUGUUUGUGUUGCCUAUACACUGCACACUUUGAUUGAAGUAUUUUUAUAUGCAAAGAGAAGAAAACAAUAUAUAAAAUCAGUUGUGUCCAGAUGAAAGAAGUGAACUUCAGCAAUGGCAAAGAAAUUUGGCUAACAGGAGGGCAAAUAGUUACAGGUUGAUUCUUUUGAUUGGAGACCUUAAUUUGAAGUCCAAUAUGAGCUAGAUGGGCACUUUGCACAGAGCCACACAGCUGCAUCAUUUCCUUUAGAGUUAGCUAGUAAGGACACUGGAGUUUUUCAGGUAAGAUCUGGUGGCUUGAACAUGCUGUGAACAAAC
rnacentral:lncRNA from 1 species